UGCAUGGCAAAUUGUUUUAGUCUAAAACACAAUAUUUCAGAAAUUGUAAGUACAAAAUAAUCAAAAAGAUGGCACCGAAUGCGAACGACAUGUAAAAGCCGAAGGACAUAGAAAAUAUGUUCUUGAAACUAUAUAUCGUUCCUGCGCAUUUAUGUGUGUGUCUGCUGGUGUUUAUGUGAGGCUAAUUAAAUUAUUAUUUACCACAAAAUAGCGUUUCAUGGCAGAGCAGCAAUACCUAAAAGAUACUGUAUAAGAGUGUUAUCAAGAUUCUGCGCUAAUUCGAUGAGAAUUUCCCUAGACGAUAUGCUGAAUGGUCAAACUAAAAGGCUACAAUAUGCCCGUCCUACUGUGAGCACAGUCCGUCAAUUUCUAUAUGAAAUCACAUUUAAUUUCCAUGUUCUGUGGAGCAAGAAAUGUAGCCAAAAAUAAAUAGCUUAGGGAUGGCUGGCAGCCAGGUUAACCAAAGCUCAAAUAAAAUUUCAGCUGCACGCCAUUUUCAUAUUAAAUAACUUUG